rnacentral:rRNA from 1 species
AUGGCCUCGUCGUGGCAGGCUUUAAAGGUGAGAUCAAGGGAGGAGGUAGCUUCUCUGAAGACGACGGCAGGCUUUAAAGGUGAGAUCAAGGGAGGAGGUAGCUUCUCUGAAGACGACGGCGCUCCGCCUUUUCCACAGGUGCCAGCAGCAGAGAAGUGUAAAUUACAAUUUGUAAUUAGGGGAAAAUCUCCCCUUGCCCGAACUGUCGUGCGGUUUGUCCCGCACAGACGCCUUCUCGCUCCCGCCCUUUGGAACCGAUGCCUCCCUUCGAUCGCGUCUCUCCAGAUGGUAUAUGUAGCGCCUGUAACCAUCAAUCGAAACAGAGAUUUCACUUUCGAUCUCAAACACGUUAUCACACACGUAGAACAACCAGCGAAGAGCGAAAAAGAAAAGAAAGGGAGGGAAAGAGCAAUCGCCGCCGGUGAGAUGCCGAGCCUCGUCUCCUUCCUCCGCCUGAUCCACGAGGAUGGACGUCGCUACGGUCGCCGUUUCCACGGACUGGGUAGACUCCGGCGAUUCCGUCGCCAGGCUAUCCGUCGCGCCGCUGGGCACGACCAUCGUGGCGCUAGGAGAGGCGCCCGUGGUGCUCACCACGCCCCGGGACAGGGUCGCCGCGCCACAGGACGCGCCCACUGCGGUGCUCCCCGCGCCCAUGGCCAUGAGCACACGGGGCUCGACCCUCGGAUGGUGGCCGGCCCGAGCGCCCCGAUGAUCAACGGGGCCGCCGAUGUGCCUGGAUCGCCCCCCGGAUCUCCACCUCCACCUCCUCCUCCACCGGCCGCGUGGCUCCCGCCCGCGACGCCGACGCCCGUCGGCGAGGCUGUUGGCCCGAGCCGUGGCCCUCCUGGAUACGCGCCCGUCCCGAUGCGCGCCAUUGUGGACGAAGAGGCCGCGCUUGGCUUCGUGUCAGCGCCCACUGGCGCCUCCGGCGUCAUCUGCCUUGGAGCAGGGAUGGAAGGUGCCGGCGUUAACUCUCCACCACCACUGGAGGCUACUGCGGGCCCGAGCAUUUGCACGGAGCAGCGCUUCGGCCGCCUCUUCGGACGCGCCGUCGCGGCCCUCGACCGCCGUCCCAGCCGCCGCCCAGGCUCAUGGGCUCCGGCGAACCUCGGCUUCGACACCACUUCGCUGCGCCAGGCCUCCACCAUCGCCGUCUCCUCUUCGGAUGAGGAGGGCUCAUCGGCGACGAGCCGGUGA